UAGAAUAUGGUGUAAUGGUAGCACGAAGAAUUUUGAAUUCUUAGAUUUAGGUUCAAUUCCUAUUGUUCUAG
rnacentral:tRNA from 1 species